GACGAACGCUGGCGGCGUGCUUAACACAUGCAAGUCGAACGGAAAGGCCCUGCUUUUGUGGGGUGCUCGAGGGGCGAACGGGUGAGUAACACGUGAGUAACCUGCCCUUGACUUUGGGAUAACUUCAGGAAACUGGGGCUAAUACCGGAUAGGAGCUCCUGCUGCAUGGUGGGGGUUGGAAAGUUUAGGCGGUUGGGGAUGGACUCGCGGGUGAUCAGCUUGUUGGUGGGGUAGUGGCUUACCAAGGCUUUGACGGGUAGCCGGCCUGAGAGGGUGAACGGGCACAAUGGGACUGAGAUACGGCCCAGACUGCUACGGGAGGCAGCAGUGGGGAAUAUUGCACAAUGGGCGGAAGCCUGAUACAGCAACGCCGCGUGCGGGAUGACGGCCUUCGGGUUGUAAACCGCUUUAGCCUGUGACGAAGCGUGAGUGACGGUAAUGGGUAAAGAAGCACCGGCUAACUACGUG
rnacentral:rRNA from 1 species